rnacentral:pre_miRNA from 1 species
AAAAUUGAAUCGUCACAAAGGGGGACUCGGCGGAAAAUAUGGUGGUAUACUACACAGUGAAUAGAUAUACCCGUAUAUUUUUCUGCCGAGCCCCUCCACGACAUCAAUAAGG